rnacentral:rRNA from 1 species
AGUGAACGCUGGCGGUAGGCCUAACACAUGCAAGUCGAACGGCAGCACAGUAAGAGCUUGCUCUUACGGGUGGCGAGUGGCGGACGGGUGAGGAAUACAUCGGAAUCUACUUUUUCGUGGGGGAUAACGUAGGGAAACUUACGCUAUACCGCAUACGGCCUUCGGGUGAAAGCAGGGGAACCUUCGACCUUGCGCGGAUGAAUUGGCCGGUGGCGGAUUUGCUAGUUGGCGGGGGAAAGGCCCACCAAGGCGACGAACCGUAGCUGGUCUGUGAGGAUGAUCAGCCACACUGGAACUGAGACACGGUCCAGACUCCUACGGGAGGCAGCAGUGGGGAAUAUUGGACAAUGGGCGCAAGCCUGAUCCAGCCAUACCGCGUGGGUGAAGAAGGCCUUCGGGUUGUAAAGCCCUUUUGUUGGGAAAGAAAAGCAGCAGGUUAAUACCCCGCUGUUCUGACGGUACCCAAAGAAUAAGCACCGGCUAACUUCGUG